rnacentral:ncRNA from 1 species
AACGACCGGCCGGACACGUGUGUGCCCGGCCCACAAGUGGAGGCUCCGUACUCCCACCUGACCACCCUCACGGGUGGCGGGUCACCGGUCAGGUGGCGCCCAUCGUUCCGUACGGACGAUGGAGCCGCCCGAUGUGCGCCCCGCGGUUGACCGCGGCGGUGCUCCGGUAUUUCCGUGGAGCCCCGCCUGUGUCCCGUCCGGGGCGUUUUUC